GGCAGCAAGUCAGGUGGUACAGGGCCAGUGCUGGGCCGAGGAGCCGGGGAGAGCGAGGUAGCUUGAUGGGAGGCUGGGGAGACUGGCGACAGAAGCCGGGGACCAUGAGGAGUUCUGCAGCAGGGGUGGACAACGGUGUGGGUACCAGAAAGGCUGAAGCACAGGGGAACAAAAGCACAGUGCCAGAAUCAAAAAAACACUGCCAUUAACUCUGAUUACUUGAUCAGUAAACAAAGCGGCCAGGAGUGUUACCACAUGGUAAACUGGGAUGAUCUGGCAGUUUGUGACUGGAGAGCUGGGGUACAUAUUCAGACAGUGUUGAGCUGAUGGAGAACAGGUGAGACCAGCACAGCAUCACACCCCUGCAGAGAAACACACACACACACACACAACCCAAGAGGAGGAGGCCAUGACAGGUUUGUUUGAAAUUCUGUCACAUCUGAGUUAGGAGUUGAUUUUUCUGUGCAAUUACUUGUAUUUUGGUCUCUUGUUGAAUCCACUAAAUGUGUGUUUGACUGUGUUAUGCCUGUCCUUUUUCAAUGUAGGUCAUAGAGUUAGAAAAUCUUCCUCAGGAUGUGUCUCGGUCAGCAUAUACUCAAAGGAUUCUAGAGAUUGUCAGCAACAUCAAGAAACAGAAGGAGGAAAUUACAAAGAUACUGUCAGACACUAAGGACCUCCAGAAAGAGAUCAACAACCUGACAGGAAAGCUGGACAGAACCUUCGCUGUGACUGAUGAGCUGGUUCUCAAGGUGCAUCAGUGGAGUAGACAUGCAUGAGGAGGAUGAGACACCUGCACACUGUCCUUAGUUGCUCAGUGAAGAAGAAUAGUACUUUAUUGAUCCUUGACAGGAAAUUGCUUUGUUACAGCAGCAGCACACCAACCAACACCAAAUAUAAAUUAAAAUAAGAUUAAAAGGGACAAGUGAAAUCAAGAACCAAAGAAAAA